UAGCUAGUUGGUGAGGUAAAGGCUUACCAAGGCGACGAUCUGUAGCGGGUCUGAGAGGAUGAUCCGCCACACUGGAACUGAGACACGGUCCAGACUCCUACGGGAGGCAGCAGUGGGGAAUUUUGGACAAUGGGGGCAACCCUGAUCCAGCCAUGCCGCGUGAGUGAAGAAGGCCUUCGGGUUGUAAAGCUCUUUCGGCCGGGAAGAAAUCGCAUGGGUCAAUACCCUGUGUGGAUGACGGUACCGGAAUAAGAAGCACCGGCUAACUACGUGCCAGCAGCCGCGGUAAUACGUAGGGUGCGAGCGUUAAUCGGAAUUACUGGGCGUAAAGCGUGCGCAGGCGGUUUUGUAAGACAGGCGUGAAAUCCCCGGGCUUAACCUGGGAACUGCGUUUGUGACUGCAAGGCUAGAGUACGGCAGAGGGGGGUGGAAUUCCACGUGUAGCAGUGAAAUGCGUAGAGAUGUGGAGGAACACCAAUGGCGAAGGCAGCCCCCUGGGUCGAUACUGACGCUCAUGCACGAAAGCGUGGGUAGCAAACAGGAUUAGAUACCCUGGUAGUCCACGCCCUAAACUAUGUCAACUAGGUGUUGGGUGGGUAAAACCAUUUAGUACCGUAGCUAACGCGUGAAGUUGACCGCCUGGGGAGUACGGCCGCAAGGUUAAAACUCAAAGGAAUUGACGGGGACCCGCACAAGCGGUGGAUGAUGUGGAUUAAUUCGAUGCAACGCGAAAAACCUUACCUACCCUUGACAUGCCAGGAACUUGCCAGAGAUGGCUUGGAGCCCGAAAGGGAGCCUGGACACAGGUGCUGCAUGGCUGUCGUCAGCUCGUGUCGUGAGAUGUUGGGUUAAGUCCCGCAACGAGCGCAACCCUUGUCGUUAAUUGCCAUCAUUUGGUUGGGCACUUUAACGACACUGCCGGUGACAAACCGGAGGAAGGUGGGGAUGACGUCAAGUCCUCAUGGCCCUUAUGGGUAGGGCUUCACACGUCAUACAAUGGUCGGUACAAAGGGUUGCCAAGCCGCGAGGCGGAGCCAAUCCCAGAAAGCCGAUCGUAGUCCGGAUUGCAGGCUGCAACUCGCCUGCAUGAAGUCGGAAUCGCUAGUAAUCGUGGAUCAGCAUGUCACGGUGAAUACGUUCCCGGGUCUUGUACACACCGCCCGUCACACCAUGGGAGCGGGUUCCGCCAGAAGUAGGUAGCCUAACCGCAAGGGGGGCGCUUACCACGGCGGGGUUCGUGACUGGGGUGAAGUCGGAACAAGGUAGCCGUAGGGGAACCUGCGGCUG
rnacentral:rRNA from 1 species